rnacentral:rRNA from 1 species
UACGUAGGUCCCGAGCGUUGUCCGGAUUUAUUGGGCGUAAAGCGAGCGCAGGUGGUUUAUUAAGUCUGGUGUAAAAGGCAGUGGCUCAACCAUUGUAUGCAUUGGAAACUGGUAGACUUGAGUGCAGGAGAGGAGAGUGGAAUUCCAUGUGUAGCGGUGAAAUGCGUAGGUAUAUGGAGGAACACCGGUGGCGAAGGCGAUUCUCUGGACUGUAACUGACGCUGAGGCUCGAAAGCGUGGGGAGCAAACAGG